GAGAGAGAGAGAGGAGCGCAGACGAUAGGAGGAGGACGAGGAGAGGAGAGAGAGAGAGAGAGGGAUUGAGAGAGAGGAGAGGAGAGAGAGAGAGAGAGAGAGGAGAGAGAGAGGAGAGAGAGAGAGAGAGAGAGACUUCACCAAUGCUGGGCCAGGAUGAAGCACUUCCUACGUCAGAGAUCAGGGGGCGGAGUUAUAUUGACGCGGGGGAAAGCAGCCAUUUUUAAAGCUCCUGUGCGACUCGUCUGUUAUUUUUUUGGGAGUUUCUCAAACCUUUAAUGGCGGCCAAACACAAGCAGCAGUGGUCGGAUGAGGAGACCCAGUGUUUCUUGGCACUGUGGUCCUCAGAGGAGGUCCAGGGGAAGCUGGACGGAGCCACCCGGGUCAAGCCGGUGUUCCAGGAGCUUCAGCGGGAGAUGUCUACGGCAGGGUACGAGCGCAGUGUGGAUCAGCUCAUAAACAAACUCAAAAAGUUAAAAAAGGAUUACAGGGACCAGAAGAAGGAGCUGGGACGAGACGGCAUUUGCAGGCAGAAGAGAUGGCCUCACUUCACAUUGAUGAAUGCGGUACUUAGCGAGCGACCGUCCAAGAACGGCAGCAGAAGGGCUCUGAGCUCGGCUACAGCCGGGACAGAUCCCACGGUGCUGGACUCAGCCCCAAACACCCCUGGAACUGAUCCUGCUUUGUCGACCGUGGAUUUGGAGGCAGUGUUUCCACAUCAACCAUCACCGGUUCCUUCCUGCAGCUCUCCCGCCCCGUCCUGCCGAUCAUCUGCAUCAUCCACCAAGUCGAGAAAAAGAAGGCGGGAUGUUGACACUGAUUUGCUGCAGUAUCUGGAGCGGUCAGAGGAACGGUUCAUAGAACAGAACCAGCGGGACCAGGACCUGGCCAACGCCAUGCUCCGCAGCCUGGAGCGCAUGGCUGGGCUGAUGGGGAGGAUGGUGUCGGUUCUGGAGUCGCAGGCAAAGAAGAAGUGAUGAGCUUUUGGCCUUUUUGAAUAUUUUGUAAAUGUUUUUAAUGUAUAUAUUUUGGGUUGAUUUGUAAUUGGUUUUUUAUGUACAUAAAGUUUUCUGACAAGAGGAGCAUGUUUUUCGUCUAUAUUUACUCUAUUCAACUCUUUAGAACAGUUUUGUUUCAACCUUAAGGUCACCUUAAAUGUUAAGUACAGAUAAUAAUAAAAUAAAUAAUUACUUAUUAAAAUAAUGAUUU
rnacentral:lncRNA from 1 species